ACAAUUAGUUGGAGCUUUCUUUGGUCAACAGCAGAUGUGACUAAGAAAAUCACGCUGUUUCACUUAGAGCAGUGGUCACCAAGUGUGGUCCUUAGGCCACACAGGUCAGCAUCACCUAGGAACUAGGAAAUGCAAGUUCUUAAGCAAUCCCACCCAGACCUACUGAAUUGGAAGUGCUGAGGAUGGGGUCCAGCAAUCUGUGGUUGAACAAGCUCUGCAGUUAUCUACAAUAGGAAGGAGAAAAGCCAGAUGCCUAGCUUGUCACAUCUGAUACCACGUUCUUCAGGAUCAAGCUUUUCCCAAACAGCAAGCUCAGGUGACCUCGGUGCUGUGGACUCACCCCUAAGUCCGCAAAUGGCCCAUCGAGCAGAGCUAACUGGGCCACGCGGCAGCGGUCCCUAUUGGCCAGUGUCUGCGGGGUGCUGUAGCCACCUCU
rnacentral:lncRNA from 10 species